rnacentral:tRNA from 1 species
GUGGGUAUCGUAUAAUGGCUAUUACCUCAGCCUUCCAAGCUGAUGAUGCGGGUUCGAUUCCCGCUACCCGCUCCA